rnacentral:rRNA from 1 species
UUCCGUUGGGGUAACCUGCGGAGGGAUCAUUACACAAAUAUGAAGGCGGGCUGGAACCUCUCGGGGUUACAGCCUUGCUGAAUUAUUCACCCUUGUCUUUUGCGUACUUCUUGUUUCCUUGGUGGGUUCGCCCACCACUAGGACAAACAUAAACCUUUUGUAAUUGCAAUCAGCGUCAGUAACAAAUUAAUAAUUACAACUUUCAACAACGGAUCUCUUGGUUCUGGCAUCGAUGAAGAACGCAGCGAAAUGCGAUAAGUAGUGUGAAUUGCAGAAUUCAGUGAAUCAUCGAAUCUUUGAACGCACAUUGCGCCCUUUGGUAUUCCAAAGGGCAUGCCUGUUCGAGCGUCAUUUGUACCCUCAAGCUUUGCUUGGUGUUGGGCGUCUUGUCUCUAGCUUUGCUGGAGACUCGCCUUAAAGUAAUUGGCAGCCGGCCUACUGGUUUCGGAGCGCAGCACAAGUCGCACUCUCUAUCAGCAAAGGUCUAGCAUCCAUUAAGCCUUUUUUUCAACUUGACCUCGGAUCAGGUAGGAUGCCCGCUCCCU